rnacentral:tRNA from 1 species
GGGCCCGUCGUCUAGAACGGACUAGGGCGCCGGCCUGCGGAGCCGGAAUCUCGUGGGUUCAAAUCCCACCGGGCCCG